UUGAAGCAGUACCGAAAGGAGCUGUGGACUUUUAAGAAGAGAGAAUGCCGGAAUGAGUAGCGAGAGUAAGGUGAGAAUCCUUACGGCCGAAUAUCCAAGGUUUCCAGGGUAAAGCUGAUCUGCCCUGGGGAAGUCGGGACCUAAGGCGAGGCCGAGAGGCGUAGCCGAUGGACAACAGGUUGAGAUUCCUGUACUACAGUAUGACAGAACUGUGGGGACGCAGAAGGAGAGCACUACCUGGAAUGGAGUCCAGGGGCAAGCACAGGAGGGGUACGGCUGGAAAAACCGCCGUGCAACCCAAAGGUGUGACGCAUACCGAACUAAAGUAGGGAAAUGUGUGAGCCGGCUGCCGAGAAAAGCCGCUAUUGUUUGUACUGUACCCGUACCGUAAACCGACACAGGUGGAUGAGGAGAGAAUCCUAAGGCCGACGGAAGAAGCAUUGCUAAGGAACUCGGCAAAAUGACCCUGUAACUUCGGGAGAAAGGGUGCCUCGAAAGAGGCCGCAGAGAAUAGGCCCAAGCAACUGUUUAGCAAAAACACAGGUCUAUGCAAAACCGCAAGGUGAAGUAUAUGGGCUGACGCCUGCCCGGUGCUGGAAGGUUAAGGGGAGAUGUCAGGAGACGAAGCAUCGAACUUAAGCCCCAGUAAACGGCGGCCGUAACAAUAACGGUCCUAAGGUAGCGAAAUUCCUUGUCGGGUAAGUUCCGACCCGCACGAAAGGCGUAAUGAUUUGGGCGCUGUCUCGGCAAUGCAUCCGGUGAAAUUGAAGUGCCAGUGAAGAUGCUGGCUACCCGCGCCAGGACGGAAAGACCCCAUGGAGCUUUACUCCAGCUUGAUACUGGGAUUCGGUAUUGUAUGUACAGGAUAGGUGGGAGGCUGAGAAAUGGUGACGCCAGUCGCCAUGGAGCCGCUGUUGGGAUACCACCCUUGCAGUACUGGAUUUCUAACCAGCAGCCGUGAUCCGGCUGGGGGACAAUGUCAGGUGGGGAGUUUGACUGGGGCGGUCGCCUCCGAAAGGGUAUCGGAGGCGCUCAAAGGUUCCCUUAGAAUGGUCGGAAACCAUUCGAAGAGUGCAAAGGCAGAAGGGAGCUUGACUGCGACACCGACGGGUGGGGCAGGUACGAAAGUAGGACUUAGUGAUCCGGUGGUAUUAAGUGGGAAUGCCAUCGCUCAACGGAUAAAAGCUACCCUGGGAUAACAGGCUUAUCACUCCCAAGAGUUCACAUCGACGGAGUGGUUUGGCACCUCGAUGUCGGCUCAUCGCAUCCUGGGGCUGUAGUAGGUCCCAAGGGUUGGGCUGUUCGCCCAUUAAAGCGGUACGCGAGCUGGGUUCAGAACGUCGUGAGACAGUUCGGUCCCUAUCCGGCGUGGGCGUAGGAUAUUUGAGAGGAGCUGACCUUAGUACGAGAGGACCGGGUUGGACUGACCUCUGGUGCACCGGUUGUCAUGCCAAUGGCACAGCCGGGUAGCCAAGUCGGGAAGGGAUAAACGCUGAAGGCAUCUAAGCGUGAAGCCCCCCUCAAGAUGAGAUAUCCCCCGCAUAAGCGGUAAGACCCCUUGAAGACGACGAGGUAGAUAGGGCAGAGGUGGAAGUGCAGUAAUGUAUGGAGCUGACUGCUACUAAUAGGUCGAAGGCUUAACAU
rnacentral:rRNA from 1 species